GUUUACGCUUUCCGGUUUUCGCUUUGUUUAUAGUCACUAACAAAAUAAGAAGAAUUGAAAAAAGUCAUAGUUAUCAAUUAAUUUAUAUAUAUCUAGUGUUUAAAUUAAUACAAGCAUGGAGAAUUUAAAAAAUAUUUGGAAGCCUGAGCUCUACCGUAUUCAAAUGGAAGCUCCUCAACCAAAGCCUAUAAUUUGCGACCAUUGUCCGGAUCGUCCAGUGUUUUAUGGUAAAGAAUACCAUGGUGUAAUGGGGCACAAGGAGGCAGUGUUACUACUUGAAGACGAACCGAAUGGCGCAUUUCUUAUUAGGAAAGGCAAUGACCACAAUGAAUUCUACACAUUGACUUGGAAAUUUAAUGAUAGAAUAAUACACUACAAGUUAUACUAUGACGGGACACAUUACAUAAAAGACAAGAGAUAUGAAACAAUCUAUGAUCUCAUUGCCGAUGGACUGAUCAUAUGUCAUAUGGAACUAAAAGCCCACCAUAUCUUGGAAAUGAUCAACUUGCAGACUAGUUACACAGAAAGUCCUUAUGUGACACUUAAUAGGAAGAAGCUAAAUACCUUAACUAAAAUACAUCAAACAUCAAGAAGUGCCAGCCCUGCUGUUAUAAAAAAAGAUGACAUAGAAUCAUUUGGUUUAAAUAAAAAAAUGAAUUUUGACCUAACACCAACAAUAGAAGACGCACCAUACUUUAAAUAUUCGAAAAACCACAACUUUAAGGUACAUACAUUUAAGGGACUCAACUGGUGUGAGCUAUGCGCAAACUUUCUGUGGGGAUUCACCGCUCAGGGUGUCAAAUGUGAAGAUUGCGGAUUCAUAGCACAUUCCAAGUGUUCGGAGCGAGUUCCUAACCACUGCUUACCAGAUUUAAAGAAACUAAGGGGAGUAUUCGGAAUAGAUCUAACAACUUUACUCAAUGCUCAUUCUUCCACGCUACCAUUUGUUGUGAGGAAGUGUGUGAAUGAAAUUGAAACUAGAGGCUUGGAUCAGGAAGGCAUAUACAGGGUGUCCGGCUUUGCUGAUGAAAUUGAAGCCUUGAAAAUGGCUUUUGAUAGAGAUGGUGAAGCAACAGACCUCAGUGUGUACAGCAAUAUAAAUGUGGUAGCAGGAACUCUGAAGCUGUACCUACGACUACUGCCGGUGCCACUUAUCACCUACGAUGUUCAUCCGAAACUUAUCAGCGCCAUUCAGUUGAAAACUUCAAUGGUUCAGAUAUCAAUGCUACGAGAGUGCCUGGAUAAUCUUCCGCCGGCUCACUUCAAUUGUCUUCAAUACAUGGUGCAGCAUCUGUACAAGGUGUCCCAACAUGCUGAACUAAACAAAAUGUCCGCACACAAUCUAAGCACAGUAUUUGCACCAACUUUGGUAGCAACUCCACCAGCCAUUACCGACCUAUCUUUUGAGAUCAGAGCUCUGCAGGCGAUUAUUGAAAAUUGCCCCCAAAUUUACUAUGUAUGCAAGUGAAGGCAUUACCCGAGACACUAUGAAUUUAUAUGAGGGAAUUGCACGGAAUAUGUUGGAUGUGAGUGAAAACCCGAAAUACAAUGGACUCAACUGCAACAAUGGCUUAUGUUAUCAACUGUAAAGGAUGCUGUAGAUGAAGCCACAACCUGAGAGUUGAACAAGGCAUAAAAGAUCUAUGAACGAUACGUCACUCGAACGGUUGGCUGAGUGGAAGAGCGCAGAACGCAAGAGGUCGCGGGUUGGAGUUCUUCAAAGUCAAAGUAAAAGUUUUUAUUUACAUAAACAUGUUAGAUUGAUGUUACAUAAAUAUUAUAAAGUACAUGUUUGACACAUUUAUGACGUGCAAAUUUUACAAAAUACAUUUCUAAAUCAUUAGAUACAAUAAUAUUAAUUUAACAAAAGAUUAGUAGCAGUAUUAUUUAUUAAUAUUAAAUUAUUUAAAAAAAAAUUCAAGUUUUUAAUUGAAAAUAUUCGUCUAAUGAAUAUUAGCAGUUUUUAAUAAGGUAUAUUUUCAAUUUAGAUGAGAAAUUCCUAUUUGACGAUACCUCUCUUAUUAUGGCCUUUCAAAUCAUGAGUUCAUUGACGAUAGGUAUAAUGUAUUUCGUCGCGAUCGUGACACCACCACUACAAGUAAAUUGGAUGGUGGAGGGGUUUUAAUUGCGGUAUUGAAAAAAAAAUGUAACAGAGUUCAUUCUUGGGAAACUAAAUUUGAAGAUCUCUGGGUAAACUUAGUAGUAAACUCAAACACAAUUUCUAUAUGUGUAUAUAUUCCUAUAAUAUAUUCGCCAAUUAAAUAUGACACUCUUCUAGGCUUUGUACAGAAUGUCGAAACGAUAUUAGUAAACUAGCAACUACAAACUGUAGUAAUUGGUGAAUUUAAUAUACCAUCAAUUAAAUGGGAUAAUGUAGAAAGGUUGUUAAAAAAGAAAUAUUCAGAUUAAUAAUGGCCCAGCAGCUGUUCUUAUAAAUGAUUUCAUAGCACUGACUAAUUUAUCUCAAUUUAAUGGGAUAAGUAAUGCUUAUAGCGAAAUCCUAGGUCUUGUUUUUAGUACAUUAAACAACAUUACAGUAGAAGAUAGUUACUUUAGUGCUUGCUCUAUAGAUAAAUAUCACCCACCACUUGAAAUUAACUUUGAAAUUGAUUAUAAAGAUUCAUUGUUUAUAUCUAAUGUAAUAGUGAAACACAAUUUUAGAAAUGCUGACUAUGAGGUUAUUAAUAGAAAGCUUGCUGAAAUCAAAUGGGAGAAUCUUUUUAGUAGAUUUGAUAACGUAAAUGAAUUGACGGAAAUAUUUUAUACUGAGAGUUACAUAAAGUUAUUGAAAAAUGUAUUCCAAAAAAAAGAGUGCUAAACAAAACUCGUUAUCCAGUGUGGUAUUCUAAAAACUUGAUUAAACGGUUGGCAGAAAUAGAAUUUAAAUUAUUAAAAGAUAGAUGUGAAAUUAUUAUAAAUAUGGACUAUAAAAGUUACAUAGAAAAGGUGGAAAAUAGCAUGAAAAUUAAUCCUAAAUUUUUUUUCACGUAUUUGAAAAAAAAGCGUAGUAAUAAAUGCGAUUAUCCAGAUUUAAUGACGCUGAAUGCUUGUUCGUUUUCAAAUGGUUCAGUUAAUAUUUGUAACCAGUUUGGUAUUCAUUUUUCUAGUGUGUAUACAUCACCCCAAAGAUCUGUAUUGCAAACAACUACAAACAUUAAUUCUUAUCCCAUUUGUUAUUUGGAUAGUAUAGCUAUAAAGGAAGAAGAUGUAAAAAAACAACUGAGCAGCCUCGACAUUAAUAAAGGGCCGGGCCCUGAUGAUAUACCAUCUUUAUUUAUUAAGCAAUGCGCGGCUCUGUUAGCAAGGCCAUUAACGUUGAUAUUUAAUAAAUCAUUAGCAAAAGGCGAGUUUCCUAAAAUAUGGAAAAAGGCUAGUACUCUAGCCUUGUGUUUAAGAGUGGUGACAGAAAAGAUAUAACUAAGUAUAGACCCAUUUGUAUAUUAUCAGUAUUUUCAAAAGUAUUUGAAUCAUUAAUCUGUCCGAUAUUAUCAUGGCACUUAAGAUCAAUAAUGAUACAGAACCAAUAUGGCUAUCUUAAAAAGAGGUCUACUAUAUCUAAUUUAGCAUUGUUUGUCUAUGAUUUAUCAGUUGCCAUAGAUAGUUCAAAUCAAAUUGACAGUGUUUACACAGAUUUAGCAAAAGCAUUUGAUGUCGUUGAUCACCGCAUUUUGUUGGCAAAACUUGGGGCAUACGGUAUUAGUGGGAAUCUUAUUCAAUGGAAGGGCUCAUUUUUAAAAAACCGUGAGAUGAAUGUUGUUAUUGGAGAGUACCAGUCAAAUACUUUUAUUGCGACAUCUGGUGUUCCGCAGGGUUCCAAUCUUGGCCCCACGUUGUUUGGUAUUUUCAUUAAUGAUAUAGUCAAAUGUUUUAAGUUUUGUCAAUUCCAUCUUUAUGCAGAUGGCCUCAAGAUGUAUAGUGAAAUAAAUAAUAUUGAAGACUCAAGGAAUAUGCAACAGGAUUUAGAUAGACUUUCGGUUUACUGCAAUGAAAACAAUCUAAAAUUAAAUCAUUUGUAAUGUUACAGUAUCACCUUCAGCAGAAAAAUAAGAAAUAUUAAUUUUGAUUACAGUAUAAAUGGCAACAUAUUAGAAACCGUCAAUCAAACAAAUGACCUCGGGAUCAUUCUAGAUUGUAAGUUGAGUUUCAUACCACAUAUUGAUAAUCUGGUGAGUAAUGCUCUUAAACUUUUAGAUUUCAUAAUAAGAAGUACAAAGGAAUUUAAAAGAUCAUCCACAAAAUUAGCGCUCUUUAAUUCAAUGAUUAGAAGUAAACUUGAAUAUUGCUCUAUUGUAUGGAAUCCUAACUAUCAAGUGCAUAAAGACAGAAUAGAAAGAGUACAAAAAAAAGGACAAUAUAAUGAUCUCUUAAAACUUUAUAAAACCAUAUCACUAUGCAAUCGUAGAAAUUCAAUAGAUAUAUGUUUUUUGCAUAAAAUUGUAAAUGGAGCUAUUGAUAGCCCGAACUUAUUAAACAGAAAAUGGUUAGCACUUCCAAGACAAAAUGUACGGUCACAUAUUAAAAAUAAAAUUACUUUGCCUUUUGCAAAAUGCCAAUAAUUACAAAGAGUAACCUAGGUAGGACCGCUCCUAUUAAAUUAUUAGAAUUGUAAUGUCCUAUAACAAUAUAUUUAAAAUAGCAGAAUUGGACAUAUAUUGGAACUCUGCAUCGAUUUUCAAGCGCAAAAUUAAAAAUCAUUUAAUUAAAUAAUAUCAUUCGUUUUUUCAUAUUUAAUAAUAAUUGCUGUAUUUGAAAUUUAGUUUAUAUAUUUUUUUUUGUUUAGAUUUAUAAGUUUUUUAUAUUUUUGUGUAGGUAACUAGUUUAUAAAGUAAUUUAGAUAGUAAGUAAACGAGGAAAUUGUCAUAUGUUAAUAAUGUUUUAAGUACUUGUAAUUUAAUGAAGUAAUUAAUUGCAUUUCGAGUUAGCCCGUAAAUGGGGUAUACGAUGUGAAAUAAUAUAAGUAAUUAAUGUGUAAAUAUACCAUAAGGCAACACAUUGUAUACAACGUGGGCUUCCUAUUAAAUAAAUAAAUAAAUAAAUCUUUGGGAUGUGAUGAUAGUUUUUUAUGCACAUACAAAGACUUUUCUCUGAAAUAAUGUAGCAGAAAGGUACUUGUAGUUUGGACCCUUCAUGGGAAAAGAGAAGUGUUUUCAUGUUUACUGAAUUCGCUAAAAAUUUUCGAACAAACAUACAACACUCAAAUAUGUAUAAUUCAACAAUUGUUAAUAGGUUAUAUUUUUUAAAUACGGGUCUGCAGCUUUCAGGGGUCCUUUUCCCGCUGUAGCCCUCACACAUUUUAUCAUUAUAAAUUUAAUUUGUGUAACUUUAAAACAAGUUGCUACGGACCUCGCGCUUGCUUGAUCCGGUACUGGUCGACGGCAGACCAAUAGGUCAGUUUCAUGUAUCAAAAUUAAAUUAUGACAGUAUGUUAUUUACACGGACGAGUAAAAAAAGAAGGACUCCGCGCCGUGAUGCAAGUGAAGCACCGUUAUGCUAGUGUGUGUGCGGUUACGGGGGAUACUAGUUACACAAUUUUUUCUCCCUUAAAUAAUCAUAUAUGGCCACAAAUACUUAUAAAGUAUCGUUUUUACACUUUUUCACAACGCACGACGGCAUUCUUAAAUAUUUUAUUGAGACGCAAACUGAUCUGUCACUGACGAUGACAAUUCUCAUAAUGGCCGCCUAUGGGCCUGUAGUAGUGUAAGUGUGUGCGCGGGGCUAUGUAUUUACACGUAAUUCAGCUUGUUUUGGUGCUACACUGUUAUCUAAGGUGACACGGAGUCCUUAUUUUUUUACUAGUCCGUGGUUAAUUACAGUGUUUUUACUAUAAUAAGCGGAGACCAAUCCUUAAUUUAAGUAUGAAUAAGUAAAGACUGCAUUGGAUUAUUGUAGCACUGCCAAAGACAUAAUAUAACAAUAUUUCCACAAUGAAUCUAUCGAAGUAGGUAGGUAGUGAUACAACGUCUUGUAACUCCCAAUUCUUCUUCUCCCAGUCUUAUUUAUAAUUUUAUUUUAUUAACAAUAGCAAUUAUUGUAAUACACAGUAAAGUAAAACACAAAAAGCUUAGAAGUAAAAUACAACAAGAAUUCUAUAAACUAGUUAAAUUUAUUCAAGGAAGUACUUAAUUAUAAUUAGAUAGGAUUUCUUACUCUAAACUACUAAAGAACAUAAAAUAAGGACAUGAACAUACAAUAAUAUUAAUGGUCAGAGUGCUGUGUCAGAAAACUUACACAAAAUCACAAUAUUCUGGCUACUAAUACUGACGUACGGCCUAUUACUGCCUUGUUACGAGUACCAUAUUUUCUAUAUACUAUAAUUUUUAAGAUUAUGUUUAAGAUGUAGUUAUCAAUAUACUCUAAAACAAAGUCCUCCAUCGCGUCUGUCUGUCUGUCUGUUGCUGCACUAAUUUUCACGCUGUUUUCACCAAUGGAUAGCGUGGUUCUCGAGGAAGGUUCUCGAUAUAAUUCGUUAAGUUUUUUUUACAUUUUAUACAUUAUUGAUAUUUGAUGGAGAUGUCGGAAAAAAAGCCGUAUGGGAGCUUUCAACGAAAAUGCUGUCUAAGCCCUUUGAGAUAUAACAAAAUAAUAUAAUGUGGAAUUGUGUAUCAUAAAUAGAUCUACACAAAAGUCCGCGAUGUCAUGUCUAUUUCUUAAGGAUAACAUACUAAUUGAUACACCCUGCCCAUUACAACUUGAAAAACCCAAAAAUUGUGAGCGGCACUACAAUUGCGCUCGUCACCUUGAAGCAGUAAUGUUUACACAUUACUGCUUCACGACAGAAAUAGGCGUCGUUGUUGUACCCAUAAUCUAGCCGGCAUCCUGUACAAAGGAGCCUCCCACUGGUUUAUACAAAUACCAUAAUAUGGUUUAUAUAAAUACCAUAAUAAUACCAUAAAUAUAAAUCAGAAAAAUCAUUUAGUUUUACUUUCUCUUUUUACUCUAGUUUGAUUACAAAAUAUUUCUGAUGACUUUAGACUACAUUAUUCCCGAAUACUUACAUCAUUUUUUUUUUCUAUUGACAGAACAGCGUCUGUCGGAUCAGCUAUUAGAUUAGAAUUAUUAAAAAAGGCAUUGUUUCCAAUAAAAAAAACGUACCUAUUGAACAAAUAUCUUCCAAUCGUGAAUAUGGUUUGAAAAAUGUAUUUAUAUUUCUCUGUAAUAGGAUAUAUUGGUUAGUUGUAGUAACUUGUAAAAAUAUCAGUUAUAAAUAAUUUAAGUACCUACUGCUUAAGUUUUACUAUAUUUUUAUUUUUUGUUUUAUUUUGUGAAUCUGUUCUUGUUAAUUUGUAAAUUUGUAUUAUUUCAUACUUUUGUAAUUAUAAAUUAAAUUAUUCGCUUAAAGAAAAAUAUUAUAAAAAUAUACUAUAUAUUAA